AGAGUUUGAUCCUGGCUCAGGAUGAACGCUGGCGGCGUGCCUAACACAUGCAAGUCGAGCGGGAAAUCCGUGACGGAUCCUUCGGGUGACGGAUCGGAUGGAGAGCGGCGGACGGGUGAGUAACGCGUAGGUAACCUGCCCUGUACAGAGGGAUAGCCACUGGAAACGGUGAUUAAUACCUCAUAAUGCCGGAUCUGCACAUGCAGGACCGGUCAAAGUUUUUUCGGUACAGGAUGGACCUGCGUCUGAUUAGCUUGUUGGUGGGGUAACGGCUCACCAAGGCGACGAUCAGUAGCCGACCUGAGAGGGUGAUCGGCCACAUUGGAACUGAGACACGGUCCAAACUCCUACGGGAGGCAGCAGUGGGGAAUAUUGCACAAUGGGGGAAACCCUGAUGCAGCAACGCCGCGUGAACGAAGAAGGCUCUUGGGUCGUAAAGUUCUGUUCUGAGGGAAGAAGAAAGUGACGGUACCUCAGGAGAAAGCCCCGGCUAACUACGUGCCAGCAGCCGCGGUAAUACGUAGGGGGCAAGCGUUGUCCGGAAUUAUUGGGCGUAAAGAGUACGUAGGCGGUCUGGUAAGCGCAAGGUGAAAGGCAUAGGCUCAACCAAUGUCAGCCUUGCGAACUGUCAGACUUGAGUGCAGGAGGGGAAAGUGGAAUUCCUAGUGUAGCGGUGAAAUGCGUAGAUAUUAGGAGGAACACCAGUGGCGAAGGCGACUUUCUGGACUGUAACUGACGCUGAGGUACGAAAGCGUGGGGAGCAAACAGGAUUAGAUACCCUGGUAGUCCACGCCGUAAACGAUGAGCACUAGGUGUCGGGGCCGCAGGGCUUCGGUGCCGCAGUUAACGCAUUAAGUGCUCCGCCUGGGGAGUACGCACGCAAGUGUG
rnacentral:rRNA from 1 species